rnacentral:rRNA from 1 species
GUGGGGAAUCUUAGACAAUGGGGGCAACCCUGAUCUAGCCAUGCCGCGUGAGUGAUGAAGGCCUUAGGGUCGUAAAGCUCUUUCGCCGGGGAAGAUAAUGACGGUACCCGGUAAAGAAACCCCGGCUAACUCCGUGCCAGCAGCCGCGGUAAUACGGAGGGGGUUAGCGUUGUUCGGAAUUACUGGGCGUAAAGCGCGCGUAGGCGGAUCGGAAAGUUGGGGGUGAAAUCCCGGGGCUCAACCCCGGAAUUGCCUUCAAAACUCCCGGUCUUGAGGUCGAGAGAGGUGAGUGGAAUUCCGAGUGUAGAGGUGAAAUUCGUAGAUAUUCGGAGGAACACCAGUGGCGAAGGCGGCUCACUGGCUCGAUACUGACGCUGAGGUGCGAAAGCGUGGGGAGCAAACAGGAUUAGAUACCCGAGUAGUCC